GAGUGGCGGACUGGUGAGUAACGCGUGGGUGACCUACCCUUGAGAUGGGGAUAGCCAUUAGAAAUAGUGGAUAAUACCGAAUACGCUCACGACCCUGUGGGGAUGUGAGGAAAUCAGGCUACGGCCUGGCUCAAGGAUGGGCCCGCGUCCCAUUAGCUAGUUGGUGAGGUAAAGGCCCACCAAGGCGACGAUGGGUAUCCGGCCUGAGAGGGUGUACGGACACAUUGGGACUGAGAUACGGCCCAAACUCCUACGGGAGGCAGCAGCUAAGAAUAUUCCGCAAUGGACGAAAGUCUGACGGAGCGACGCCGCGUGGAUGAAGAAGGCCGUGAGGUUGUAAAAUCCUUUUGUCGAUGAAGAAUAAGUAUGGUAGGGAAUGACCGUAUGAUGACAUUAGUCGAUGAAUAAGCCCCGGCUAAUUACGUGCCAGCAGCCGCGGUAACACGUAAGGGGCAAGCGUUGUUCGGAAUUAUUGGGCGUAAAGGGCAUGUAGGCGGUUUGGUAAGCCUGGUGUGAAAGGCUGCAGCUUAACUGUAGCAUUGCAUUGGGUACUGCUAGACUUGAAUCACGGAGGGGAAACUAGAAUUCCAGGUGUAGGGGUGGAAUCUGUAGAUAUCUGGAAGAAUACCGGUGGCGAAGGCGGGUUUCUGGCCGAUGAUUGACGCUGAGGUGCGAAAGUGCGGGGAGCAAACAGGAUUAGAU
rnacentral:rRNA from 1 species